rnacentral:rRNA from 1 species
GAUGAACGCUAGCUAUAGGCUUAACACAUGCAAGUCGAGGGGCAGCAUAUAGAUUGCUUGCAAUUUAUGAUGGCGACCGGCGCACGGGUGAGUAACGCGUAUCCAACCUACCCAUUACGUAGGAUAACCCAGCGAAGUUGGCCUAAUGCCCUAUGUAGUCGUUUGAUCGCCUGAGAUUUCGACGAAAGAUUUAUCGGGUAUUGGAUGGGGGAUGCGUCUGAUUAGCUUGUUGGCGGGGUAAAGGCCCCACCAAGGCAACGAUCAGUAGGGGUUCUGAGAGGAAGGUCCCCCACAUUGGAACUGAGACACGGUCCAAACUCCUACGGGAGGCAGCAGUGAGGAAUAUUGGUCAAUGGGCGAGAGCCUGAACCAGCCAAGUAGCGUGCAGGAUGACGGCCCUAUGGGUUGUAAACUGCUUUUAUAUGGGAAUAAAGUGAGGGGACGUGUCCCUUAUUGCAUGUACCAUACGAAUAAGGACCGGCUAAUUCCGUGCCAGCAGCCGCGGUAAAU